rnacentral:rRNA from 1 species
GACGUAGGGGCCGAGCGUUGUCCGGAGUUACUGGGCGUAAAGGGCGCGCAGGCGGUUGGUCACAUCGGCGGUGAAAGCCCCCCGCUCAACGGGGGAGGGUCCGUCGAGAUGGGCCGACUGGAGGCAGGGAGAGGGCGGUGGAAUUCCGGGUGUAGUGGUGAAAUGCGUAGAUAUCCGGAGGAACACCAGUGGCGAAGGCGGCCGCCCUGGA